rnacentral:ribozyme from 13 species
CCUUUCGCAUCUUCUUCUUUACUUCUUUACUUCUUUUUUUUUUCUCUGCUUUUGUCGUUUAUCUCACAACAGCAACAAAAGCUACAGCAACAACAACAAAA